UACAGGGGGUGCUAGCGUUGUUCGGAAUUACUGGGCGUAAAGGGCGCGUAGGCGGUCUUGUAAGUCAGAUGUGAAAUCCCGGGGCUUAACUCCGGACGUGCAUUUGAAACUGCGAGACUUGAGUGCAGUAGAGGAUGGUAGAAUUCCCAGUGUAGAGGUGAAAUUCGUAGAUAUUGGGAGGAAUACCGGUGGCGAAGGCGGCCAUCUGGGCUGCAACUGACGCUGAGGCGCAAAAGCGUGGGGAUCAAACAGG
rnacentral:rRNA from 1 species